GAGGGAGUGGGACAUCUGUAAGGGCAUGGUACCCAGGAAAGGCAUGGAGGAGGUAGAGUCUGAAGGAGAGCUAACACUCAGGUUAUAGCUUUUACCACCUAUGGAAGUUCAGACUGGUCAUUCAAGACAUUUCUCACUACAGAGGCACAAACAAUUUUCAUUCUACUGCGGAAAUCAUUUCUCAGAUGGGGCAAGGCCAGAGAAACCUGAAUUACUGAUAAAAAAAAUUGACACUCUACACAAAGCAGUGAGAAAUUGAAGGCCUUGCUGAUAGCUCUGAAAUUAUUUUUUCCCUAAUUUCAAAAUCCAACUCAGAUGCAUAACACAAGAAGAGAGAGAAACUUUGUCAGCAGAAUAUAUGUAUGUCCUAGUGAGUCAAGGUCAUAGAAACAUCUGUACCUGGAUCUCCCUUUUCUCCCUUGGGACCUUGUUUGCCAUCUAUUCCUUCUCUUCCAGGCAAUCCUCUUUCUCCAGGUUCACACACGAUGAGGGUACAAGCCCCUGAGCUUUCUUUUUCGUUGGAGGGUGUUGUCACUUCAUCUUGAGCAGCCAGUGGGCUUAUGAAGAGGAUCAGUGCAGAGAGAUAGAGGAGGAGCAUGAUUCUUGUCUCUGAACCACAAUGAGAAGAGGGUUAAUUCAACUCACUGCUUGUUGCAGGACAUGGGGAAGGACCAAUUACAGUGUAUGGCCAGAGAUUGUGUUCUUCAUUUUUUGCUAAGGAGUGUGGUCACUCACUUGGGAAAUAUGAGCAAUAAAGUUUUGCUGGGAGGCAUUUGUUGAUCAUCAAGAA